CCUACGGGGGGCAGCAGUGGGGAAUAUUGGUCAAUGGACGAGAGUCUGAACCAGCCAAGUAGCGUGAAGGAUGACUGCCCUAUGGGUUGUAAACUUCUUUUAUAUGGGAAUAAAAUGUUCCACGUGUGGGAUUUUGUAUGUACCAUAUGAAUAAGGAUCGGCUAACUCCGUGCCAGCAGCCGCGGUAAUACGGAGGAUCCGAGCGUUAUCCGGAUUUAUUGGGUUUAAAGGGAGCGUAGGUGGAUUGUUAAGUCAGUUGUGAAAGUUUGCGGUUCAACCGUAAAAUUGCAGUUGAAACUGGCAGUCUUGAGUACAGUAGAGGUGGGCGGAAGUCGUGGUGUAGCGGUGAAAUGCUUAGAUAUCACGAAGAACUCCGAUUGCGAAGGCAGUUCACUGGACUGCAACUGACACUGAGGCUCGAAAGUGUGGGUAUCAAACAGGAUUAGAUACCCGAGUAGUC
rnacentral:rRNA from 1 species